rnacentral:lncRNA from 1 species
GAAGAAAGCCAGUUUUGUCAGUUAGCGAGCAGCAAAGCUUAAACCCAAACCCUGACAACUGUCCCUGCCUGGACAGUGCUUAUCACCGUACAUUUAAGCUAUUUCUUGGAUAUGCAGCUGAGAGUCUUGCUAUGUUAAGAAAAGGAAAAAAAGAAAAAGAAAAAUUAUUGAAUAUGAUCCCUUAGUAGAAGUAAGUGCAAAUUAAAACACAAUUCAUUAUUCUUCUGCACAUACACA